AGAGUUUGAUCCUGGCUCAGGAUGAACGCUGGCGGUAUGCUUAACACAUGCAAGUCGAACGGAACUCUUCGGAGUUUAGCGGCGGACGGGUGAGUAACGCGUGAGAAUCUGGCUUCAGGUCUGGGACAACAGUUGGAAACGGCUGCUAAUACCGGAUGUGCCUGUGGGUGAAAGAUUAAUUGCCUGAAGAUGAGCUCGCGUCCGAUUAGCUAGUUGGUGUGGUAAAGGCGCACCAAGGCAGCGAUCGGUAGCUGGUCUGAGAGGACGAUCAGCCACACUGGAACUGAGACACGGUCCAGACUCCUACGGGAGGCAGCAGUGGGGAAUUUUCCGCAAUGGGCGAAAGCCUGACGGAGCAAUACCGCGUGAGGGAGGAAGGCUCUUGGGUUGUAAACCUCUUUUCUCAGGGAAUAAUCAAUUGAAGGUACCUGAGGAAUAAGCAUCGGCUAACUCCGUGCCAGCAGCCGCGGUAAUACGGAGGAUGCAAGCGUUAUCCGGAAUGAUUGGGCGUAAAGCGUCCGCAGGUGGUUUGUCAAGUCGGCUGUCAAAGAGUCUGGCUUAACCAGAUAAAGGCAGUGGAAACUGAGAGACUAGAGUAUGGUAGGGGUAGAGGGAAUUCCCGGUGUAGCGGUGAAAUGCGUAGAGAUCGGGAAGAACACCGGUGGCGAAAGCGCUCUGCUGGACCAAAACUGACACUCAUGGACGAAAGCUAGGGGAGCGAAUGGGAUUAGAUACCCCAGUAGUCCUAGCCGUAAACGAUGGAUACUAGGCGUUACGCGUAUCGACCCGCGUAGUGCCGGAGCCAACGCGUUAAGUAUCCCGCUUGGGGAGUACGCACGCAAGUGUGAAACUCAAAGGAAUUGACGGGGGCCCGCACAAGCGGUGGAGUAUGUGGUUUAAUUCGAUGCAACGCGAAGAACCUUACCAGGGCUUGACAUGUCGCGAAUCUCCUGGAAACGGGAGAGUGCCUUAGGGAGCGCGAACACAGGUGGUGCAUGGCUGUCGUCAGCUCGUGUCGUGAGAUGUUGGGUUAAGUCCCGCAACGAGCGCAACCCUCGUACUUAGUUGCCAUCAUUAAGUUGGGAAACCCUAAGAAGACUGCCGGUGACAAACCGGAGGAAGGUGGGGAUGACGUCAAGUCAGCAUGCCCCUUACGUCCUGGGCUACACACGUACUACAAUGCUAUGGACAGAGGGCAGCAAGCUAGCGAUAGCAAGCAAAUCUCACAAACCAUGGCUCAGUUCAGAUCGCAGGCUGCAACUCGCCUGCGUGAAGGUGGAAUCGCUAGUAAUUGCAGGUCAGCAUACUGCAGUGAAUUCGUUCCCGGGCCUUGUACACACCGCCCGUCACACCAUGGAAGCUGGUAGUGCCCGAAGUCGUUACUCUAACUUUUCGGAGGGGAGGAUGCCGAAGGCAGGACUGGUGACUGGGGUGAAGUCGUAACAAGGUAGCCGUACCGGAAGGUGUGGCUGGAUCACCUCCUUUUAGGGAGACCAACUAAAUUAUGAAUGAGCAAUUAUGUUGGAUGAAAUUCACACUUCAUAAUUCACAAUUCAUAAUUUUAGACAUCCCUGGUCGUGCGCCGUAGGGAAACGCAGCUUUCAAACUAGAAUUUUGGGUUCGAUUAAGGGCUAUUAGCUCAGGUGGUUAGAGCGCACCCCUGAUAAGGGUGAGGUCCCUGGUUCGAGUCCAGGAUGGCCCACCUGGAAAAAUUAUGAAUGAUUAAUGAUGAAUUAUGAAGUUCCGACUUCACAGUUCAGAAUUGGGAAUUCAUAAUUUCAUGGGGGUAUAGCUCAGUUGGUAGAGCGCCUGCUUUGCAAGCAGGAUGUCAGGAGUUCGAGUCUCCUUACCUCCACCUACCGCAGACAAUUGUCACGGAAAUUCAUCAGCUAUCACAUAGCAAAGUGUGAGAGAUGGGUUGAGUGACUGGAAAGCGGAAUCAGAUAACUGAAGAAAAUGGAGAAAAUCUAGCACCGAGAUAUCACAGGUAUCAGGAUGCUGGAAGCGUAUCCAGCCAGAACCUUGAAAACUGCAUAGAAAAGCGAAAGUAACUAAUGGCUAAUAGCUAAUAGCUAAUGGCUAAUUGCUAAUGGACAUUAACUAUUAGCAAUGAGCAAUGAGCAAUUAGCAAGUAAUAGUGGUCAAGUGAAUAAGAGCUCAUGGUGGAU
rnacentral:rRNA from 1 species